rnacentral:rRNA from 1 species
GAUCCUGGCUCAGAUUGAACGCUGGCGGCAUGCUUUACACAUGCAAGUCGAACGGCAGCACGGGGGCAACCCUGGUGGCGAGUGGCGAACGGGUGAGUAAUGCAUCGGAACGUACCCAGUCGUGGGGGAUAACGCAGCGAAAGUUGUGCUAAUACCGCAUACGACCUGAGGGUGAAAGCGGGGGACCGUAAGGCCUCGCGCGAUUGGAGCGGCCGAUAUCAGAUUAGCUAGUUGGUGAGGUAAAGGCUCACCAAGGCGACGAUCUGUAGCGGGUCUGAGAGGAUGAUCCGCCACACUGGAACUGAGACACGGUCCAGACUCCUACGGGAGGCAGCAGUGGGGAAUUUUGGACAAUGGGCGCAAGCCUGAUCCAGCCAUGCCGCGUGAGUGAAGAAGGCCUUCGGGUUGUAAAGCUCUUUCGGCCGGGAAGAAAUCGCACGGGUUAAUACCCUGUGUGGAUGACGGUACCGGAAUAAGAAGCACCGGCUAACUACGUG